GCAGCUUACCUUCGGCAUCCACAGACCUGUCAAUUAGCCCUCUCCCUGUAUUCUGAUUCAUUUCCAGCAGCAGACGUGCCAAAGACUGGCAGGAACUCAGGGAAAUAUAUCCUGAACACAGGUGGUAUGUUGAAUAUGCCUUGGUGCUUUAUUUGAACUAACCAACUGAUAAAUUUAAACAAUAUAGGCAUGAGACGGAGGGGGAAACUAGGAGACAGAACUGGCGAUAACUUUGAGGUAAUUACCUAAAAUUGUUGCUUUACGAUUUGUUUUCUUUGUCCCUAUGCUGUCAAUAGAUGCAUACGUUGCAUUUUGACACUAACGUAAUUUAGUUAAAAUCCAGGAAUGCGUUCGGCAGCUGCUUUUCCAAGUGUGCACACACAGCUUCUCUCAGGAACCAAGAGUCACUGCCUCCCCUCCUCUCCUUCCCAUCUCAAAGGUGCUGGAAAUAAAUUUGAUGCGGUAGGUCUAAUUUUAUUUUAUUUUUUUAAAUUGACUCAGUAUUUGAUUUCUCCCUAGAGACUCACUGCUACCUCUAGGUCAAGAUGAGACUUCUGUCGUGCAUUAAGCUAAUUUGGAUUGUGAAUGAAUACAAGUCCAGGAAGUCGAUUCUGAGACCCGAUACCCUGCGAGGGGAGUGCAGGAUAAGCAGGAGAAAUUAAUUAGCGCUGCCUUAAGCAGUUUUACCGACGCAGGCGGGACUGUGGUGGAGCACUGGAGAUGCUGCGAGCCCUGAGCUGCCUUCACAGCCUUGUUGGGUGUGCUGCUGGAUCACACUGCAUGAGAAAUGGAAGCAACCUAUCUGUAAAGAGCCUGCAAACCUCAGGACGCUCUGGAAGCCAGUGGAAUAAUUACAGUGGGAUGAGGCUGCAAGUCCCAUUGCUUCCUGAGCUGCAUUCACGGCUGUGUGAAGGGGAGAAAGGAAUACAUUUGAGGUCUUUUCAUGGAAGACACAGAUAUUUUAAUGUUGCGAUACCAUCCAACAGGGUGAGCUGAGAGAACCAACACUGAGUUUCACAGAUAGAACACCACUAUUCCCUGUGUAAAACAGGAGGUAGGCGUAGGCCUCCCCUGGAAAAUAAUGUUUUAAGAGCUCAUAAAUACCUAGAGGUCAAAUCAUCCUCAUUUCUAGUGUUUGUAUAGAUAUUUCCAAUAAUAUAUUUAGUGGGCUCACUUUUUUAUUUUGUGCAUUUAUCCUGGUUUAUUGUUUAUUUUUCCUGAAUUAUUGGCCAACGAAUAUUUAUAUUAGAGCAGAAAAAAUAUAUUCUAAAAUUAAUGUCAUAAAAAUAAGUUACAUCAGUUAGAUGUCCUCUGCAUGAGAAAGGCAUAAGAUGGAUUGCUAAAUAUCCCCUGGGGCUGAGCCAGCAAGACUAGGACUGCACACCCCUCAUCAUUAGCAAGGACACAAAAUCACGGAGGAGACCCAGUUGGCCAGGGCAGACCAGCCAGGCAGUGCUGUGUCGAACGCAUGAUGACCGUGGUGGAUGCAUUGAGCUCUCUUCCCAGCUGAGGAGUUAAAGAGAAACAUUUAGUAAAAAGGGCCAGGAUUUAGUCACAAUGCUACCCUCUCCCGAUAGAAUAAUUAAGCAAUGAACACAGCUGCACAUUUCUAGAAUGGACACUGUGAGAAAGGUGUAGUUUUUCCAUGUUGUAUGGCAUUUGUUUUCUUGCAAACAGGCAAGGACGGGCUAGGACUGUUUCUACGCCUGUCUGCACUGUGAUAUGCACUGUCUUCGCUGAGGAAGAGCACCACAAUGCUGCCUUCAUAUUCCAGAACAUGCCAGGCUCAGUUUUCUUUCUUUAAGUCCUCAUUUUCUGCUUAAUGUGUAUACUAGGGCUAAAAAAGUCUAACUCCUAUUUUCUCCCUUCUCCUGAGGUCCUUCUGGGUCAAGAUGGCUCCGGGCUGACAGGGUUGUGGGAAGACACGGCCUGGCUCUAGUCUGAUUCUCCAAUCAGAACAUAAGACAGUGAGUGUUAAGCUGUCCUUUCCGCUGCGGAGUGACCUUGGAGGACUCAUUAAUCUCUCUGGCCCCAGUUUCCUCAUCUCUAUGGUCACACAAGGAGAGUGAUGAAGCCUGCAUGUUCACUGUGGACUCAGAAGCCACUGGGCUUUGUCAUGUUGCCCUCUGCCCCCACCAUUCCAUAAUAGAGAAAGUGAUUGAGCCCUGGAAGUUAUAUAAUUUAAAUAUCUUGAGAGUAUAAGAGGUGGAAGCAAUUUCUCCCAGCUGGGUGGAGACAACAUCGCUGAUUCCUGAGAGGUGUGGACAUGUGUUCCAGGAAGAGGGAAGACCUUGAGUAAGUGUCUGGAGGUGACAGAACAGCUUCGCUCCUAAGCCAGCGAGACCACGAGCCCACCAGGAAGAACGAACAACUCCAGAUGCGCUACCUUAAGAGCUGUAACACUCACCGCCAAGGCCUGCAGCUUCACUCCUGAGCCAGCGAGACCACGAACCCACCAGAAGGAAGAAACUCCGAACACAUCUGAACAUCAGAAGGAACAAACUCCAGACGCGCUACCUUAAGAGCUGUCUCACCGCGAGGGUCCGCAGCUUCAUUCUUGAAGUCAAUGAGACCAAGAACCCACCAAUUCCCAACACAAUAAGAACAAUACAAAUGAAAGGCAGGUCUGGCUUCCCUAGUUUGCUUUUCUGUCUGUCCGUGAGCCCCUGGACAUGGGGUUCAUGCAGCAGCGAUCUCUUCCCCCAUCCUGCUUACUGCCAGAGCAUCUGGCUAUGUUCCCUCUGACCUUUAUAAAAGCAGCUGUAGGAAAUGCUGCAGGCGCCUCAGCAGGAUGAGGGGGAAAUGGCGUCUCCACGCACUCUAGAAAUACGGCCUCAGAGCCCCAAAGUGCAAGCGACUGGAAGACCGCACAUCACCAUCCUAGGAGCCCAGCCUGCACCAUCUUCUGAUGACAUUCAUUUUUCUCAGACCAUUUUCACUUUUGUCUCUAGAGUAAAGUGAGCUGUGAUGCGUACUAUUCUGCCUGUAUUAUUUAAUCAGUUAAUACAUUAAAUAACAUUUGAUACAUUAAAUAACAUUUAAUACAUUAAAUAAGAAUUCAAGUAUUCAAGUAACCACCCUAAAAAUCUACCACAGACAAAUCACAGAGUACACCACAUGAAUCUACAGCAGUUCGAGUUUGAACAAAAUUAAUAAUAAAGAUGAUAGACUUUAUAAAACACAACACUUCCAAACUGUAAGCCUACUCUUUUUUCUAUAGUAAUUUAGUAUUUAUUUUUAUCAGAAUUAUAAAAUGUAGAAUUAGAGAUGUGUAUCAAGGGGAAAAUGACAAUUCACAAUAUCUCAAUUUCCAGCCAUAACAUACUGACUAAUUUAGGAUUCUUCAAUUUUCUCCUGUGAGUAUGUUGUGUGUGCCUGCAUACAUACGUGUUUACUUUCACAGACUAUUGUAGAUGGAUUGUGGUUUCUUAUUUUUCACUUGAUAUUGGAUAGCUGACAUCCCCCGUAGUGUAUGUGUAUAUAUGUGUGUGUAUAUAUAUAUAUAACCGUUACUCAAUAAUCAGACCUUCAGAUUCUUCCUAAUUUUCCCAGUUAUAAAUGGAGGCAUAAUUCAUAAAAUCUUACGUUAAUAUUUGUCCACAUUUCUGAAUGUUUUCCUAGGCUAGAUUCCCAGCAGUAGAAAUAUUGGCAUAAAUAUUAAGAAUACCUAAAUGAUUUUAAUACAUGUAACCAAAUGCUUUCAUAAAUAAACAUGAACUCUCUUAAGCAGUGUGUAAAAGUACUAACACAAUAUACCUUUAUCAACUUUCAUUAUAUGUUUCAAUCUUUGCUAAUUUGAUUUAGCAAAAAAUGAUUUCUGGGGAAAGGUGGGCUAUGAGUUUGAUCUCCCUGCUUUCCCAGAUGGAGAAGAAUUGAGAGAUGAGACUGUUACUCCAGAGUUUAGAAGAAAGUUCUGGGAUGGAGAUAUUCAUCUUAAAGUUAUCAAGAAACAGGAGAGUUGAUGCCAGUAGCUUCUGGGUAGCACACCCAGAUUAUAUGCUAAAUUGUGCUUUUAAUUUAUUUAAAGCUGAGCAGAAAGUGACAGAACAUAUAAGGAGCAGUAAAAAUAAUAAAAAGGGCAAUGACUGUGAUGUCACUGAUGAUGUUAUCAAUGAUAAUAACAUGAGUGCCUUAGGCUUCUGGACACCCACAUGCAUUUGCUCACUUAAUAAUGAAUCAGGCAUGUUAGGUGCUAUUAAUAUGGCUAUCGAAUAAACAAUGAACUGUGGCUAACAAAGAUUGCCCAACUUACAAGUGUUAGAUGUGAAACUUGCUCUCAUGUGUGUCUGAAUCCAAAGUAUGUGCUCUUACCCAUCAAGAUAGGCCGCCUCUAUGAAACUGCCAUUGACUAGCAGAGAUGUUGGGAUGGAAGGGAACAUGGCUUUAGACUUGUUUCCUUCAACAGGUAUAUUUAAUAGGUUUACUGACUUAUAGCUGUCAUAAUUCCUUUUCCCUUUAUAGAAGGUGAUAAAUAUUGAAAUAUAUAUGAAUUAAAUAUAUAUGAACAAUAUGCAAAAACAUAAUAUAAAAUAUAUAUGAAAAUCAAUAUAUAAUAUGAAGGAAUAUGAAUAUGUAUGAAUAUAGCUUGUUUAUAAACAUGUAUAAAUAUGAUCUAAGUUUUAUUCAUAAAUUUAGAAAUAUUUAAAAUUAAACAAUGUUUCCAGAUCUGUAUGAUUUGUCAGCACGAGUUACACAUGUCACAGGAGAAUGUGCGGUAUGGCCUCAGCUCCAUACAUAAAUGACAUGUCUUUACUCACCUUGAUCCCACGGCUGCAUCCACAGUAAUGAAGUGGAAAGAAAGCAAUUACAUGGAUUGCUUAAGUAAUUCCCAUAAAAAAUCCAUGCAGAGUGGUUUCCAGUCUGACAUGUUAUAGGAUUUGGAAGUCAUCACUCCUAUCCUUACAACAAAAACAAAGCUGAACAAACUGAAAAUCAACAACUCUUCUUAGAUCCAUGAGAGAAUGGAGGUCACAGGACAAACUGCUUCCUGAAAAACUGGAGAGACAGACAGGUGGACACAGAAAAUCACGGCUAACCUGAGCAGAAGCCCACAGCUGAAACCACUUCAAAGUUUAAAGUAGGGAUGCCUUAAAUGGUAAUUAGUAAAUUGCUGAAGGCUCCGUGUGAAGUAGCCUGAAAGUUAAAAAUCCCAGUUUUGGGGGUGGGUUGGGGAGGAGACGAGCAUACUUUCCUGAGUUUUGCUUCCAGAAGCCUCCCAGGUUUUCUGGGAGGAGGUCUGAGAAAAAGUCCCUGGUAGUUCUUGUUGGAGCAGAAGAAAAGUAACUAUUUUGAAAUAAGCCCAGAGCUCUCUGUUCUCCUUGGAGACCUGCCCUCAAGGACAAUUAGUGUACUAUCGCCUAACCAACUGGGGUUUUUUAUAAAACCUAACCAGUCUGAGGGAAAGGAAAUACCCAGUCAGGCUCAUUAAAAGACUGAAACAAGGUAAUUACGAAAGGUGAAGGAUAUGAUAAUUUGCUUACUCGUAGGCAUCAUAUCACUGUGUAUAUGUAGGCCAAAACAUCAUGUUGUACACCUUAAAUACGUCAAAUUUUUAAAAGACUAGAACUUCGUCUUAGGAGUAUAGAAGCUUCCCUUCUCCCAACAGCUCACCUCCAAAUCAGUGGGGCCCCUCCACAUCAAUAGCAUAGAAAUAAAGAAUUGUAGUUAAAGAACUGUUAGCAUUAGACUCUAUUUCAUAGUCUCUAAGGACACUCAAUGAAAACCAGAGAGGCAAAAACAGAGACUAUAGAGGAAAUGUUUAACUUCUGAUACCACAGUUACAGCAAACGGUAAACAUAGCCUGACUCCCAGCCACAUAAACCUAAAUCUUACACUCAAAGCCUAUCUCCUUUAACUCCUUUUACCCAGUGCAUCAUGCCUGUCUUGCAACAAAAACAGUCACAAGCCAUGCCAAAAGGCAAAAAAACAUCAAAAAAUGCAAGCCAACAGUCAGAGCCGGCUCAGAUACGGCAGAGAUUUUGGAAUGAUCAGACCAGAAAUUCAAAAUAACUAUGAUUAAUAUGAUACCAAUGCUAAUGGAAAAGUUAAUAACAACAGGCACAAACAUAUGGAUAAUAUAAACAAAAAGAUGGAAACUCUAAGAAAGAAUCAAAAGGAAAUGUUAGAAAUCAAAAUCUCUGUAAAAGAAGUGGAGAAUGGCCUUGAUGGCCACAUCAGUAGACUGGACAUGGCCAAGAAAAGAAUCAGUGACCUUGAAGAUAUGUCAGUAGAAACUUCCCAAACUGAAAUGCAACAAUAAAAGAAUGAAAAAUAUGGAACAGAAUACCCCAAAACUGUGGGCAAUUUACAGAAGGUGUAAAAUACACAUAACAGGAAUACAAGAAGCAGAAGAAAGAAAGGAAAAUAAUAAAUAUUUGAAGAAAUAAUGGUGAAGCAUUUUGGAAAGUUGAUAGACACCAAGCAGCAGAUCUAGGGAGCUCACAGAACACCAAAUAGGAUGAAUACCAAAAAUCUAUACCUAGUCAUGUCAUAUUCAAACUGCAGAAACUUUUUAUAAAGAUAAAAUCUUGAAACAGGGCAGAAAAAAAAACCACCAUACUUAGGGAGGAACAAAAAUCAGAAUUACAUAGGACUUCUCUACAGAAACCAUUCAAGCAAAAAGAGAGUUGAGUGAAAUAUUUGAAGUGAGUUGAAAGAAAAAAAAUUUAAACAUCAGCCUAGAAUUCUGUGUCCAGUGAAAUUACAACAUAUAAGUGAAAGAGAAAGAAAGACGCUGUGAAAAAGAAAAAAAAAAAAAUGAAGCAGUAUAUCACCAGUAGAACUACCCUGCAAGAAAUGUUAAAAUAGCUUCUUAGAGAGAAGGAAAUGAUAUAGGUCAGAAACUCAGAUCUAUAUAAAGAAAGGAAGAACAUUUCAAAAGGAAUAA